GUAGUCUGCAACUCGACUACAUGAAGCUGGAAUCGCUAGUAAUCGCGAAUCAGAAUGUCGCGGUGAAUACGUUCCCGGGUCUUGUACACACCGCCCGUCACACCAUGGGAGUUGGCAACGCCCGAAGUCAGUGACCCAACCUUAACAGGAGGGAGCUGCCGAAGGCGGGGCUGAUAACUGGGGUGAAGUCGUAACAAGGUACC
rnacentral:rRNA from 1 species